UCCAGACUCCUACGGGAGGCAGCAGUGAGGAAUAUUGGUCAAUGGUCGGGAGACUGAACCAGCCAAGCCGCGUGAGGGAUGAAGGUACAGAGUAUCGUAAACCUCUUUUGUCGGAGAACAAAACCCGGGACGUGUCCCGGACUGCGUGUAUCCGAAGAAAAAGCAUCGGCUAACUCCGUGCCAGCAGCCGCGGUAAUACGGAGGAUGCGAGCGUUAUCCGGAUUUAUUGGGUUUAAAGGGUGCGCAGGCGGAAUAUCAGGUCAGCGGUAAAAUUUCGGGGCUCAACCCCGUCGUGCCGUUGAAACUGGCGUUCUUGAGUGAGCGAGAAGUAUGCGGAAUGCGUGGUGUAGCGGUGAAAUGCAUAGAUAUCACGCAGAACUCCGAUUGCGAAGGCAGCAUACCGGCGCUCAACUGACGCUCAUGCACGAAAGCGUGGGUAUCGAACAGGAUUAGAUACCCCCGUACG
rnacentral:rRNA from 1 species